rnacentral:lncRNA from 1 species
UCCCCUCACUUUUGAUUUUCAAAAACCUGGAUCCUUGUUGAAAUAGGAAGGGCUCAAAGCAAAGACAAAAUAUUUUGGAGAAUGUUUUAUUAAGAGCAAACUUUCUUUCUGCCCACUCUAAGAAAAAAGAGAGCUAAAGAAGAAUUCAACAGUGGUGGGUCCCACAGAGAGGAUAUCUGUGCCAUCUUCAUUGGCUGAUUGCUGGACAGGUGGGGUAGAGUGGCAGAAAAUCUUGAAAUAGGUUUAUGUCCCAAUGCCCGGAUAGAUACUACGGAAACAGCAAGUUCCAAAAAUAAAAAUGCUUUGUUUUGUCUAGGUCUUCUACUUCUCCAUCGAAUUUCCCAUAUCUUAGCAUUAUGUUAUAGGAGCAACAGAAUAAUCUCCAUGUGUGCAAGAAUGCUACUCAAGGAAGCAAAAUGUCUUCAUACCACUAAACAACAUCUACUUGCAAGUGAAGAGGGAACAAAAGCUCAUAAAACUGCAAUAAAAUAUUUAUUUGUCUUCAGCAAUAGGAUUAAUUUUAUCACUGUAGAUUUAUGACCCCAGAAAUUCGUUGCUGGAUAUUUAAUAUAUCAAAAUAGCAGAACAAGGAGCUUGUAUUAAGAAAUGUGCUGUGAAAC